CCAGUGAAAGAUGAGCCCGGCUGCAUUCAGACUGAGCCAUCCUUGCCAGCCAAAGCAGAUUCUUCAUGCCUGCUUCCAAGCAGCACGAGCUUAAACAACUGGUGUCAGAGUGGGGUGUCUCUACAGUCCUGGCCACGAAGAGAGGAGAUGAAAUGUUCUCCUGCUUGGAGCACAAAAAAGAGGCUGGAGCUGGGCUGCCAUCUCCACAACUGAAAAACUGCAGUGAAAUUGGAGUUCUUUGUUCAUGUUUCAUUGCCUGCUUUGAGGAAAACAGUGAUCAGGAGAUGAGACACGAGCCUCGAGGGCCUCCAGCAGAACACACAGUUCCCUACCUGAACCUCAGUCCUGGCUUUUUGUUAAUUCAGAGCCUGCCAGUGAGUUAGAGAAGGUUUGCUGGUCCAAGCC